rnacentral:rRNA from 1 species
AUACGGAGGGGGUUAGCGUUGUUCGGAAUUACUGGGCGUAAAGCGCGCGUAGGCGGACUAUUAAGUCAGAGGUGAAAUCCCGGGGCUCAACCCCGGAACUGCCUUUGAUACUGGUAGUCUAGAGUUCGAGAGAGGUGAGUGGAAUUCCGAGUGUAGAGGUGAAAUUCGUAGAUAUUCGGAGGAACACCAGUGGCGAAGGCGGUUCACUGGCUCGAUACUGACGCUGAGGUGCGAAAGUGUGGGGAGCAAACAGGAUUAGAUACCCUGGUAGUCCACACCGUAAACGAUGAAUGCCAGUCGUCGGAUAGCAUGCUAUUCGGUGACACACCUAACGGAUUAAGCAUUCCGCCUGGGGAGUACGGUCGCAAGAUUAAAACUCAAAGGAAUUGACGGGG